rnacentral:rRNA from 1 species
GACGAACGCUGGCGGCGUGCUUAACACAUGCAAGUCGAACGGAAAGGCCCUGCUUUUGUGGGGUGCUCGAGUGGCGAACGGGUGAGUAACACGUGAGUAACCUGCCCUUGACUUUGGGAUAACUUCAGGAAACUGGGGCUAAUACCGGAUAGGAGCUCCUGCUGCAUGGUGGGGGUUGGAAAGUUUCGGCGGGUGGGGAUGGACUCGCGGCUUAUCAGCUUGUUGGUUGGGUAGUGGCUUACCAAGGCUUUGACGGGUAGCCGGCCUGAGAGGGUGACCGGCCACAUUGGGACUGAGAUACGGCCCAGACUCCUACGGGAGGCAGCAGUGGGGAAUAUUGCACAAUGGGCGGAAGCCUGAUGCAGCAACGCCGCGUGCGGGAUGACGGCCUUCGGGUUGUAAACCGCUUUCGCCUGUGACGCAGCGUGAGUGACGGUAAUGGGUAAAGAAGCACCGGCUAACUACGUG